rnacentral:scRNA from 1 species
GCCCUUGACCUGAUCAAACCCUAUAAAAAAGA